rnacentral:ncRNA from 1 species
UCCACUGGGGGAGCACAUUGCUGAGAUUGACGCUGUCAAGACCCUUUGAACCUGAUCCGGACGAUGCCGGCGUAGGGAAGUGGUUGA